CCUACGGGGGGCAGCAGUAGGGAAUAUUGCUCAAUGGGGGAAACCCUGAAGCAGCAAUGCCGCGUGUAGGAUGAAGGUUUUCGGAUUGUAAACUCCUUUUGUUAGAGAAGAUAACGAUGGUAUCUAACGCAUAAGCACCGGCUAACUCCGUGCCAGCAGCCGCGGUAAUACGGAGGGUGCAAGCGUUACUCGGAAUCACUGGGCGUAAGGAGCGCGUAGGCGGGUUAGCAAGUCAGAUGUGAAAUCCUAGGGCUUAACCAGAGAACUGCAUUUGAAACUGUUAUUCUAGAGUAUGGGAGAGGGAGGUAGAAUGCUAGGUGUAGCGGUGAAAUGCGUAGAGAUCAGGAGGAAUACUGAUUGCGAAGGCGGCCUGCUAGAACAAAACUGACGCUGAUGCGCGAAAGCGUGGGGAGCAAACAGGAUUAGAUACCCGAGUAGUC
rnacentral:rRNA from 1 species